rnacentral:lncRNA from 1 species
AAGGUUCUAGAACAUGGUUCACAAUGGACCUAUCAUUCACUAUAAUGCAGAUCCAUAGGGAGUAGUAUAUCAGAACACCAGAAAACGUGAUAUAGAAAGUAGAACAGGAAAAUUCAUCGUCAUAAUGAAAUGUGAGAAUCCUCUGGCAUUUAGAGUGAUUAGGUUUUAAAGGAUUCUAUGAAUAAAGGAAUUUGAGAGUGACUGUAAUGGGUAUCUAUAAUGAGAUGAGGAAGAAAGAUAUGCUAUAAUAUGAUUUUCAUUAUGGCAGAUGACAGACAAGUAUUAUUUUUAAAAUUGUUUUUCUUUUUUCCUAUUAUUCUUUCCUACCUCUUUUCUCUUUGAGCAGGAAAGAGAAUGAAGACCACACAUAGUUGACACUGGGCUGAAUAUGAGCCACUAGAUUGGAGUAUCAUAGAAUAUCCUGGGCUGAGGGUUAUUUCAGUUAUGAUGGUGAUUCCAGCUGUACUCUGCCCCAGUGGAGCUUUUCAGAGAUCUACCAGGUUUAUAGCUUUGCAGGUUGAUGUUGGGGAUGACAUUGGUAUUUGACUUAUUCUCUGAGUUGGAUCAAUCUUAGUCUGAAGCUAGAAUGAAAUGAGAUACGAGUAUUCCAUCAAAUAGCUAACAAAAGGAUGUUUGUCUACCCAUGGAGUUGGGUAGUGAAGUUUGGUAGGAGCACAAUAAGUUUUUCAUUCAGGGAACUAUGUGAAAGACUGGGUUCUCUGGAGGACAAAGCAUGA